rnacentral:rRNA from 1 species
UACGUAGGGGGCAAGCGUUGUCUGGAAUCAUUGGGCGUAAAGCGCGUGUAGGCGGUUUCGUAAGUCUGCUGUGAAAGUCGGAGGCUCAACCUUCGAAAGCCGGUGGAUACUGUGAGACUUGAGUACGGAAGAGGAGAGUGGAAUUCCUGGUGUAGCGGUGAAAUGCGCAGAUAUCAGGAGGAACACCAACGGCGAAGGCAGCUCUCUGGGACGUUACUGACGCUGAGACGCGAAAGCGUGGGGAGCAAACAGG